rnacentral:rRNA from 1 species
CCUACGGGUGGCUGCAGUGAGGAAUAUUGGUCAAUGGGAGAGAUCCUGAACCAGCCAAGCCGCGUGAGGGAAGACGGCCCUAUGGGUUGUAAACCUCUUUUGUCGGAGAACAAAACCCGGGACGUGUCCCGGACUGCGUGUAUCCGAAGAAAAAGCAUCGGCUAACUACGUGCCAGCAGCCGCGGUAAUACGUAGGUGGCGAGCGUUGUCCGGAAUAACUGGGCGUAAAGGGAGCGUAGGUGGUUGAUUAAGUUAAAUGUGAAAGCCCAGGGCUCAACUCUGGAACUGCAUUUAAUACUGGUCGGCGAGAGUACAGGAGGGGUAAACGGAAUUUCUAGUGUAGCGGUGAAAUGCGUAGAUAUUAGGAAGAACACCGGAGGCGAAGGCGGUUUACUGGACUGCAACUGACACUGAGGCUCGAAAGCGUGGGGAGCAAACAGGAUUAGAUACCCGUGUAGUC